rnacentral:misc_RNA from 1 species
AAGUCGUAACAAGGUUUCCGUAGGUGAACCUGCGGAAGGAUCAUUAACACGUAUCCAACGUUAAAAACACCCCUGUGAACCCGUUAAUCUUGCUCCUCACGCCCUGCACGAAGAAUGGUAUUGAUACUCCAUCUGCGUGGGAUGACAUGCGACGUAGCAAAUCACUUGGCUCCCCAAGCAACCAUGUUUCUAAAAGCGGCUCAUGGAAGCGUAAGGAGACGCUGUAACGUUUUGCUGUAGGCCAACACGGCCGGCAAUCCAAGUGGUUGUACUUCGGUACCCUCACAUCGGCACACCACCGAUGAUAUGUCAAUUUCGCGAAUGGACUAAAAGCCUCGCACCAAAAACCGAACAACUGUUAACAAUGGAUAUCUUGGUUCUC